rnacentral:rRNA from 1 species
AUACCAGCACCCCGAGUGGUCGGGACGAUUAUUGGGCCUAAAGCAUCCGUAGCCGGUUCUGCAAGUCCCCCGUUAAAUCCAGCUGCUCAACAGAUGGGCCGCGGAGGAUACUACAGAGCUAGGAGGCAGGAGAGGCAAGCGGUACUCAGUGGGUAGGGGUAAAAUCCGUUGAUCCAUUGAAGACCACCAGUGGCGAAGGCGGCUUGCCAGAAUGCGCUCGACGGUGAGGGAUGAAAGCCGGGGGAGCAAACCGGAUUAGAUACCCGGGUAGUCCCAGCUGUAAACGAUGCAGACUCGGUGAUGAAUUGGCUUCAUGCCAAUUCAGUGCCGCAGGGAAGCCGUUAAGUUUGCCGCCUGGGGAGUGCGGUCGCAAGACUGAAACUUAAAUGAAUUGGCGGGG